GGGGGAAUUUUUCCGCAAUGGGCGAAAGCCUGACGGAGCAAUGCCGCGUGAAGGAUGAAGGCCUAUGGGUUGUAAACUUCUUUUCUCAGAGAAGAAUUUUUGACGGUAUCUGAGGAAUAAGCAUCGGCUAACUCUGUGCCAGCAGCCGCGGUAAGACAGAGGAUGCAAGCGUUAUCCGGAAUGAUUGGGCGUAAAGCGUCUGUAGGUGGCUUAAAAAGUCUCCUGUCAAAGAUCAGGGCUUAACCCUGGGCCGGCAGGAGAAACUCUUAGGCUAGAGUUGGUAGGGGCAGAGGGAAUUCCCGGUGGAGCGGUGAAAUGCGUAGAGAUCGGGAGGAACACCAAAGGCGAAAGCACUCUGCUGGGCCAUAACUGACACUGAGAGACGAAAGCGAGGGGAGCAAAAGGGAUUAGAUACCCCUGUAGU
rnacentral:rRNA from 1 species